CCUACGGGGGGCUGCAGUGAGGAAUAUUGGUCAAUGGACGGAAGUCUGAACCAGCCAUGCCGCGUGCAGGAAGACGGCUCUAUGAGUUGUAAACUGCUUUUGUACAAGGGUAAACCUGAAUACGUGUAUUCAGCUGAAAGUACUUUACGAAUAAGGAUCGGCUAACUCCGUGCCAGCAGCCGCGGUAAUACGGAGGAUACAAGCGUUAUCCGGAUUUAUUGGGUGUACAGGGUGCGUAGGCGGAGUGAUAAGUUAGGUGUGAAAUGUCCGGGCUUAACCCGGGAACUGCCUCUAAUACUGUUGAUCUAGAGAGUAGAUGCGGUAGGAGGAAUGUAUGGUGUAGCGGUGAAAUGCUUAGAGAUCAUACAGAACACCGAUUGCGAAGGCAGCUUACCA
rnacentral:rRNA from 1 species